rnacentral:tRNA from 1 species
GAGGGUGUAGAUCAGUAGUAGGGUGCGUGCCUAGCAUGCAUGAGGUCCUGGGUUCAAUCCCCAGUCCCUCCA